rnacentral:tRNA from 1 species
UCAAAAACAGUUUUGGAAACACUAACUUUGGGAGUUAGCAAGUGAGAGUUUUCUCAUUUUUGAA